UCAAAAUCAUAAAUAUCAGCCACCACAUGAAGAACACAUAUACUUUCUGAAAAAUCUUUCACUGUAAGAUAAACAAAACCUUAACCACAUAGUUCAAAGACACUUCACAAAAAAUAGAACAACAACAACCCAACAUUUCCAAAUAUGAGAAACUCCAGAGAAGAAGAGAACACGAGCAUACGGAGUAGAGUGAAGAGGAUUCGUGCUUACCUGAAGGGGAAACUGUCGUCGGAAUUGGAACUCGCCGGACCAGCUCCGGUUACGUGAGUCUUUAGCUUUUUUUUAAUUUCUUGAUACCACUUUGUUCCUUGCGUUGUGUUGAUCAAAACCCCCAUAAUAAUUGAUUGAAAUUGUGAUUCAUGGAUAUUUAAUUUCACAUUAUUUGUUUAAGGUUUAUGUGUAGAAUUUGAAAUUAAAUGAUUUUGGUAAGGAAUUGAUAAAUUUUGAGACCGGAUUCGUAAUGAGGGAGAAGAUACGAUUAAAUUGGUAUACUCAUUUCUCAUUUCCGGCCAUCGUCACUGGAACCCGUGACGGAAGGGGCGGUUGUUUUCGACCAUAUGAGAGAAAGAAACGAGGUUGGGG
rnacentral:lncRNA from 1 species